rnacentral:antisense_RNA from 1 species
UUGCGCCAACCCUUUCGGUGUGAUGCGGAUGGUCGGCUCGG